rnacentral:snoRNA from 1 species
UGCAGCCCCGUCAAAUUCAGUCCCGGCCUCCUCCGUGGCAGGGACUGGCCAGCUGGCUGCC